GUCUUUAACAGGCAUUCUAGAAAGCAAUAUCUGACUAUAAUAUAAUUAAAUUAAUAAUUUAAGCAAAUACCCCCCCCCAAAUCCUGAAUGGAUUUGAAAAUUAAUAACCACACUUGUAUCCAUAUAUGAAUACAUGACUCAUGAAACUCCACAUCAUGUACAACUGCAAGAAUGGGAUUCUAAUUAGAGAAAGUCAUACUCCAUGUAUGUGUAAUGUCAAAAUACACUCUAAUGUCAUGUAUACUAAAAAUAACAAAUAAAAAAGGAAAAAAGCCACACUUGUAAACAACUUAUGAGUUAACCAAGAAACAUAAUGAAAAUUAAAAAAAUACAUAAAACUGAAUGUUAACAUUAGUAAAAAUAAUAGGAAGCAAAACUCAUAGGCAGCACAAAAGUGGAAGAUUGAGAGUUAUAGCCUUAAAUGCCAGUAUCAGAAAAGAAAAAAAAGAAAUAAGAUUUAAUAACUCAACAUUCAAUAUACCAAUUUAGAAAGCAAAGAUCAUAAAAAGUGUAAUGAAUGCACAAUAUAUAUUGAUAAAAAGAGAAAACACAAAAACUGGUUCUCUGAAAAGACUUGUAAAUAGGAUAACUUAUAGCAUAUUUGAGCAAGGAAAAAAGUAAUCUAAAAGAGACUGGAAACAUUACAGGUAGUAGUAAUAUAUUACAAAUUAUAUUUUUACCUCUAGGACAAGAGAAUAAUGGCCGCUAGCUCUUUAUAUCUAACUGGUUAUCAGAGCCAGUGAUGUAAGUGAAGGAAAGAAAUAAGCAAAAGGUAGAAGGAAAGAAAAAGGAUAAAGCAAAAUUGCCACCAAUUAAAGAUAAUAAAUAAACUUUGCAGGAAAAAUACUAGAAACAACACAAAAAGUUCAGGAAAAUUAGCAGAUAUAAAACAAAC
rnacentral:lncRNA from 1 species